rnacentral:rRNA from 1 species
GAUGAACGCUAGCUACAGGCUUAACACAUGCAAGUCGAGGGGCAGCAUGGUCUUAGCUUGCUAAGGCCGAUGGCGACCGGCGCACGGGUGAGUAACACGUAUCCAACCUGCCGUCUACUCUUGGACAGCCUUCUGAAAGGAAGAUUAAUACAAGAUGGCAUCAUGAGUCCACAUGUUCACAUGAUUAAAGGUAUUCCGGUAGACGAUGGGGAUGCGUUCCAUUAGAUAGUAGGCGGGGUAACGGCCCACCUAGUCUUCGAUGGAUAGGGGUUCUGAGAGGAAGGUCCCCCACAUUGGAACUGAGACACGGUCCAAACUCCUACGGGAGGCAGCAGUGAGGAAUAUUGGUCAAUGGGCGAGAGCCUGAACCAGCCAAGUAGCGUGAAGGAUGACUGCCCUAUGGGUUGUAAACUUCUUUUAUAAAGGAAUAAAGUCGGGUAUGGAUACCCGUUUGCAUGUACUUUACGAAUAAGGAUCGGCUAACUCCGUGCCAGCAGCCGCGGUAAUACGGAGGAUCCGAGCGUUAUCCGGAUUUAUUGGGUUUAAAGGGAGCGUAGAUGGAUGUUUAAGUCAGUUGUGAAAGUUUGCGGCUCAACCGUAAAAUUGCAGUUGAUACUGGAUAUCUUGAGUGCAGUUGAGGCAGGCGGAAUUCGUGGUGUAGCGGUGAAAUGCUUAGAUAUCACGAAGAACUCCAAUUGCGAAGGCAGCCUGCUAAGCUGCAACUGACAUUGAGGCUCGAAAGUGUGGGUAUCAAACAGGAUUAGAUACCCUGGUAGUCCACACGGUAAACGAUGAAUACUCGCUGUUUGCGAUAUACAGCAAGCGGCCAAGCGAAAGCGUUAAGUAUUCCACCUGGGGAGUACGCCGGCAAUGGUGAAACUCAAAGGAAUUGACGGGGGCCCGCACAAGCGGAGGAACAUGUGGUUUAAUUCGAUGAUACGCGAGGAACCUUACCCGGGCUUAAAUUGCAGAUGAAUUACGGUGAAAGCCGUAAGCCGCAAGGCAUCUGUGAAGGUGCUGCAUGGUUGUCGUCAGCUCGUGCCGUGAGGUGUCGGCUUAAGUGCCAUAACGAGCGCAACCCUUGUUGUCAGUUACUAACAGGUUCCGCUGAGGACUCUGACAAGACUGCCAUCGUAAGAUGUGAGGAAGGUGGGGAUGACGUCAAAUCAGCACGGCCCUUACGUCCGGGGCUACACACGUGUUACAAUGGGGGGUACAGAGGGCCGCUACCACGCGAGUGGAUGCCAAUCCCAAAAACCUCUCUCAGUUCGGACUGGAGUCUGCAACCCGACUCCACGAAGCUGGAUUCGCUAGUAAUCGCGCAUCAGCCACGGCGCGGUGAAUACGUUCCCGGGCCU